UGGGGAAUUUUGGACAAUGGGCGCAAGCCUGAUCCAGCCAUGCCGCGUGAGUGAAGAAGGCCUUCGGGUUGUAAAGCUCUUUCGGACGGGAAGAAAUGGCGGGCUCUAACAUAGCCUGUCGAUGACGGUACCGUAAGAAGAAGCACCGGCUAACUACGUGCCAGCAGCCUCGGUAAUACGUAGGGUGCGAGCGUUAAUCGGAAUUACUGGGCGUAAAGCGUGCGUAGGUGGUUGUUUAAGUCUGAUGUGAAAGCCCUGGGCUCAACCUGGGAAUGGCAUUGGAAACUGGGCAGCUAGAGUGCGGUAGAGGGUAGUGGAAUUCCCGGUGUAGCAGUGAAAUGCGUAGAGAUCGGGAGGAACAUCUGUGGCGAAGGCGACUGCCUGGACCAGCACUGACACUGAGGCACGAAAGCGUGGGGAGCAAACA
rnacentral:rRNA from 1 species